rnacentral:rRNA from 1 species
GACGAACGCUGGCGGCGUGCUUAACACAUGCAAGUCGAACGGAAAGGCCCUGCUUUUGUGGGGUGCUCGGGUGGCGAACGGGUGAGUAACACGUGAGUAACCUGCCCUUGACUUUGGGAUAACUUCAGGAAACUGGGGCUAAUACCGGAUAGGAGCUCCUGCUGCAUGGUGGGGGUUGGAAAGUUUCGGCGGUUGGGGAUGGACUCGCGGCUUAUCAGCUUGUUGGUGGGGUAGUGGCUUACCAAGGCUUUGACGGGUAGCCGGCCUGAGAGGGUGACCGGCCACAUUGGGACUGAGAUGCGGCCCAGACUCCUACGGGAGGCAGCAGUGGGGAAUAUUGCACAAUGGGCGGAAGCCUGAUGCAGCAACGCCGCGUGCGGGAUGACGGCCUUCGGGUUGUAAACCGCUUUCGCCUGUGACGAAGCGUGAGUGACGGUAAUGGGUAAAGAAGCACCGGCUAACUACGUG